UUUUUCGAGUCGUCAGUUACUGAACUGAUUUUAAGUUACUUCAUUUCAAUUCUUUGGUUUUAAAAGGCUCGGUUAGCUUCUUUGGGAGUUCAAAAAGCUGUAUCAGAACUUCGAUCCCUUACCUCCUCAGCAAAAUCUGGGAAAAGAAAAUGGCAUAAAGUUGAUUAUUCCUCCACCCCUUUGCGCCGUUCGAAUCGUCUCAAAGGGAAAUCAUGCAUCUCGGAAUUAUCAGUUAAAGGUUUAUAUCAAGGAAUAUUAGGACUGUUUGUUUUGACUCUUGGAUAAUUGGAUUGGAUGUGUAAUUUUACAAUCUCAUGGGUUGGUUUUCAAUUUUCAGGGGAAAGUGGGCUUUCCCAGCUUAGUGAUGUUGAAGAUGAUGGUGAGAAGAAGAGGCCUGCAAAUGCACCAUUAAUGAGGGUGAAAAGGAUGGGAAGGAUGGGAAGGCUCCGAGCCAAAACUGAUUAUGAAAGCCUCAGAAAAGCCCGCAUUUUGGAAAACCAGGUUCUUUAUUUCUCCAUCUUUUUAACCAUUUUUCGAGUCGUCAGUUACUGAACUGAUUUCAAGUUACUUCAUUUCAAUUCUUUGGUUUUAAAAGGCUCGGUUAGCUUCUUUGGGAGUUCAAAAAGCUGUAUCAGAACUUCGAUCCCUUACCUCCUCAGCAAAAUCUGGGAAAAGAAAAUGGCAUAAAGUUGAUUAUUCCUCCACCCCUUUGCGCCGUUCGAAUCGUCUCAAAGGGAAAUCAUGCAUCUCGGAAUUAUCAGUUAAAG
rnacentral:lncRNA from 1 species